CUACGUAGGCGACAAGCGUUAUCCGGAUUUACUGGGCGUAAAGGGCGUGUAGGCGGUCUUGCAAGUCAGAAGUGAAAUUCCUGAGCUCAACUCGGGAGCUGCUUCUGAAACUGCAGGACUUGAGUGCUGGAGGGGAUAGCGGAAUUCCUAGUGGAGCGGUAAAAUGCGCAGAUAUUAGGAAGAACACCGGUGGCGAAGGCGGCUAUCUGGACAGUAACUGACGCUGAGGCGCGAAAGCGUGGGGAGCAAACGGGAUUAGAUACCCCGGUAGUCCUGGCAGUAAACGAUGUAUGCUGGGUGUGGGAGUAGCGAUACCUCCGUGCCGAAGUUAACGCGAUAAGCAUACCGCCUGGGGAGUACGGUCGCAAGAUUGAAACUCAAAGGAAUUGACGGGG
rnacentral:rRNA from 1 species